UCGGGAAUUUUGUGCAAUGGGCGAAAGCCUGACCCAGCAACGCCGCGUGAAGGAUGAAGUAUUUCGGUAUGUAAACUUCGAAAGAAUAGGAAGAAUAAAUGACGGUACUAUUUAUAAGGUCCGGCUAACUACGUGCCAGCAGCCGCGGUAAUACGUAGGGACCAAGCGUUGUUCGGAUUUACUGGGCGUAAAGGGCGCGUAGGCGGCAAUUCAAGUCAUCUGUGAAAUCUCCGGGCUUAACUCGGAACGGUCAGAUGAUACUGCUUUGCUAGAGUGCAGAAGGGGCAAUCGGAAUUCUUGGUGUAGCGGUGAAAUGCGUAGAUAUCAAGAGGAACACCUGAGGUGAAGACGGGUUGCUGGGCUGACACUGACGCUGAGGCGCGAAAGCCAGGGGAGCAAACGGGAUUAGAUACCCUUGUAGUCCCUGAGCGGGCUGGCAAGGCGCAU
rnacentral:rRNA from 1 species